AACUUCAUAAAUGAAUUUUUUAGGGCAUAUAAAUAUUUUGAUCGACUUAAACCAAAGAAAAAGAAAAUAUAUAUAACGAUAUCUAUUUAAUCCAUCAUCGAACUCGAAUCGGUUCCUUCCUGUGCUUUCUGCCUCAAGCGCGAAGCAGCACCGGCAACAGUGAAACGCCACCGUUUUGGCUCUCACAAUCUGUGUCGCUAUGGACGCCUCCAUGGAUGACGCUCCCGUUCUUCUCGACCGCGCUUCUCGAGCUAGCAGAGGGAAGAGGAUGACAAAGUUGCUGGACGACGAAAUUGAAGAGGACGAGUUGUUUUGGAACCAGGAUGCUCUCAAAGAGGAAGAGGAUGAUACUAACUAUGAAGAAGAGCAAGAGGUUGCUGAUGAGUUCGAUAGCGAUUUCGACGAAGAUGAACCUGAGCCAGAAGAAGAAGCGGAAAACAAUGAACCAGACGACAGGGUGCGGCCCAAGAAGCGGCUAAUUUUUCCGGGAAAAACAUUGGCAAAGAGAAAGAAGAAAAAGAAAGUGCUUUCGGAUCUUGAAGGUUCUCCCAAGGAUGAAGAUGAAACAAUAAAUGAACAGUCUACAGAGCAGCAGCAUCAUCAUCAUGACGCCCCUGAAGAAGGAGAAGGAGAGAGAACAGUGAGAAAAUCUACCAGAACUGCUGUCAUUAUUAGGCAAGCUGAGAGAGAUGCAAUACGUGCAGCCUUGCAAGCCACUAUGAGGCCAAUAAAGAGAAAAAAGGAGGGUGAAGAGAAGAGGAUGACCCAGGAAGAGAUGCUUUUGGAAGCAGCCCAAACAGAAAUAAUGAAUUUGAGGAACCUGGAGCGUGUUUUAGCAAGGGAGGAAGAAGUUAAGAAAAGAGCUAUCGUGCAUAAAGCUAUCUAUAGUGGCCCACAAGUACGAUACUUUUCAAAAGAUGGUUAUUCAUCUUUGGAAUUCAGUAAAGGAUUGUCAUUUCAGUCAGAGAUUUCCACUACUCCGAUUCCAUAUCCUGAGAAAGCUGUCUGUGCCAUUACCGGUUUACCUGCCAAGUAUCGUGACCCAAGGACAGGGCUACCUUAUGCAACAAAAGAAGCGUUUAAAAUCAUACGAGAGCGUUUUCAGGGUGAAAAUAGUGGUGUCCAGAAACAUAUGGACAUGGGAAAUUUAUUUGAUUCACUUUCUGGGAAAGGUUUUUCAGCAAGGCAUAAGAGAUCAGCAAAGUCAAUUAAAAAUGAAGCGUCAUUUUCUCGGCAUUUGGCACGUUUCCGCAGAAUUCCAGCGCUUGAAGAUGAAGAUUCAGAUUAGCUGCCAUGCAGAGAAACCCUUUGACAAAGAUAUAAGGAUUCGAUGGUGAUAAUAAUGCUCUUCAAGCUAUGAGAAUUUGUCGUACAUAAAAAUGUGGGUUGAUGUAAUUGCCAAGAUUUACAUUAGGUUAUGCCAUGGAGUCUGGAGAGUGGAACCCGUGUCCAACUUCUUCAUUGUUGAUUAAAAGAAGCAAGCGUUGGAAGCAGUUUGUUGGUACAUUUCCCAUCACGAGUUCGUGUUUAGAAAGCCCUGGUCUCUAAAGCGCAAUGGCACCGGCUUAUAAAGGCUGUGGCUUUAUAUAAUGAACAGGGCUGGCCCAACUUUAUCUGUGGCCUUAGACCCAAAAAAAAAAAAUAAUAAUAAUAAUAAUAAUUAAAUAGUAUAUUUACGUAAAUAAUAUUAAUUAUCAUAUAUUUAUAGUUAUGCCUUUUUUUUUUUUUAAAUAGGACAAAGACUUUGCUUUGAAUUUCUAGUGAGAACUGUUUGUUGCUUCUAAACAUUUUCUUUUUCAAGUGGAUGUAGAUUAUAGUAAUCUUUUUCAAUGUAGUGAUGAUGUCGAUAGUUUUUCUUA